UACGUAGGGGGCAAGCGUUGUCCGGAUUUACUGGGCGUAAAGAGCGUGUAGGCGGCCACGCAGGUCCGUUGUGAAAACUGGAGGCUCAACCUCCAGCUGUCGACGGAAACCGUAUGGCUAGAGUCCGGAAGAGGAGAGUGGAAUUCCUGGUGUAGCGGUGAAAUGCGCAGAUAUCAGGAAGAACACCCGUGGCGAAAGCGGCUCUCUGGAACGGUACUGACGCUGAGACGCGAAAGCGUGGGGAGCGAACAGG
rnacentral:rRNA from 1 species